GCGACCCCAGGUCAGUCGGGAUUACCCGCUG
rnacentral:rRNA from 1 species